AUUGAACGCUGGCGGCAGGCCUAACACAUGCAAGUCGAACGGUAACAGGAAACAGCUUGCUGUUUCGCUGACGAGUGGCGGACGGGUGAGUAAUGUCUGGGAAACUGCCUGAUGGAGGGGGAUAACUACUGGAAACGGUAGCUAAUACCGCAUAACGUCGCAAGACCAAAGAGGGGGACCUUCGGGCCUCUUGCCAUCGGAUGUGCCCAGAUGGGAUUAGCUAGUAGGUGGGGUAACGGCUCACCUAGGCGACGAUCCCUAGCUGGUCUGAGAGGAUGACCAGCCACACUGGAACUGAGACACGGUCCAGACUCCUACGGGAGGCAGCAGUGGGGAAUAUUGCACAAAGGGCGCAAGCCUGAUGCAGCCAUGCCGCGUGUAUGAAGAAGGCCUUCGGGUUGUAAAGUACUUUCAGCGGGGAGGAAGGGAGUAAAGUUAAUACCUUUGCUCAUUGACGUUACCCGAAGAAGAAGCACCGGCUAACUCCGUG
rnacentral:rRNA from 1 species